UGGGGAAUUGUUCACAAUGGGCGCAAGCCUGAUGACGCAACGCCGCGUGGGGGAUGAAGGUCUUCGGAUCGUAAACCCCUGUCGAAUGGGACGAAAGACUCGCGAGUGAAUACUUCGCGAGAGUGACGGUACCGUUAAAGGAAGCCACGGCUAACUCUGUGCCAGCAGCCGCGGUAAUACAGAGGUGGCAAGCGUUGUUCGGAAUUACUGGGCGUAAAGGGCGCGUAGGCGGCCCUCUAAGUCAGACGUGAAAUCCCCCGGCUUAACCUGGGAACUGCGUCUGAUACUGGAGGGCUUGAGUAUGGGAGAGGGAUGUAGAAUUCCAGGUGUAGCGGUGAAAUGCGUAGAUAUCUGGAGGAAUACCGGUGGCGAAGGCGGCAUCCUGGACCAUUACUGACGCUGAGGCGCGAAAGCUAGGGGAGCAAACGGGAUUAGAUACCCUCGUAGUCCCUGAGCGGGCUGGCAAGGCGCAU
rnacentral:rRNA from 1 species